GAACGUUUUGGAAUACGGAACACAAGAAGACUUCCUCAGGCACUGCCUGUCUGGACCACAGUGUAGGACGCGCGAAUCUGCAGCUAGGGGGAUUCUGUGAUCACAAAGAACCCGGUGCUCAGAUUGCCUGUAUCUGGAGGGAACUCACCUGAAGGAAAAGCAACCGUGCUUUCCACAGACUCCAAAUCAUCCUCACGCUCGCCGAAAGCAGGGCGACUUUCCCCAUAGAAACAGAAGGCUCUGCAUUUCUCUUCUUAAGAAGUAGAAAAUCUCAGCUCUUUCAGGAUCAAUCAUGGAGCUUUCCAAGGGCAUAUUUUUCAGCACUGAGGGAAGUCGUCCCAGAGUAUUUCAUUUCCAGGUUCUGGAUUCUCGAGAUGAGAGGGAGGCAUUUCCAUUAUCUCUGUUGGGCUCCUCAAGAGAGUUGCAUGUUCUGAUGCUUGAAGGUGACGUAACCAGCUUCUGGUGACACUCAGGCCUGGCACUGCCAACCGUGUGAACUACAGCCUUCUCCUUAUUAACCACGAUCAUCACUGACUGCUCAAGGAAGAGCCUGGGGUUUGACUCCCCAAGGGGACACUGUGACUACCAGCACAGAGCUGCCUGCCCAGCUGGGCUGCUGACUGAUGGGAAGAGGGGGCUGCAGCCUGGGAAGGUCAAGGGGGAGAAAAAGCCCAGCUCUCACCUGGAUGGACACAGGCUUUCUGUCAGGCCUCCUACUUUGCAUGUUUUUCCUCUUUCCCUGCACGGUUAGGACUCCAGCAGGAGACUGAAAGAAGAACUGGCAGGGAUCGAACUCAGGACCUUGCACUUGCAAGGCAGACAACAGCACCACUGAGCUACACAACAUUCAUAUUUUGUCAGACACGACUGUGGACUGGUCUUUCUUUUGCCUACAUCAGGAAUGGUAGCAGAAUGGCCUUAUGUGAUAUUGAUGUUCUGUGAAAUCAUCUAUGGUCCAUCAAGUUUCAGGCCAGCUUUUAGAUUUCAGCAACUGCAUUUUUCUCAAUAGUUUCUCCUGAAAUUUUUAGGGGGUUUGUACAUAUUAAGCAUAUUUACUUUUUCCCCACAGUGCUGCCAGCAUUUGUUAUUGGUUGAUUUCUUGAGAGCACCCAUUCUUUCUG
rnacentral:lncRNA from 1 species